GACUCAGAUAGCUCAGUUGGUUAAAGCAUGGUGCUGGUAAUGUCAGGGUUGCAGGUUCGAUCCCCAUACGGGGCA